CAAGGGUCGACUCUAAUAGGAGACUGCCGGUGACAAACCGGAGGAAGGUGGGGAUGACGUCAAGUCCUCAUGGCCCUUAUGGGUAGGGCUGCACACGUGCUACAAUGGCCGAUACAACGGGUUGCGGAUACCGCGAGGUGGAGCGAAUCCCUUAAAGUCGGCCCCAGUUCGGAUCGGAGGCUGCAACUCGCCUCCGUGAAGUCGGAGUUGCUAGUAAUCGCGGAUCAGCAUGCCGCGGUGAAUACGUUCCCGGGCCUU
rnacentral:rRNA from 1 species